CUAAUACCCAAUGAUAUCUCUAGAAGGCAUCUGAAAGAGAUUAAAGAUUUAUCGGUGAUGGAUGGGGAUGCGUCUGAUUAGCUUGUUGGCGGGGUAACGGCCCACCAAGGCAACGAUCAGUAGGGGUUCUGAGAGGAAGGUCCCCCACAUUGGAACUGAGACACGGUCCAAACUCCUACGGGAGGCAGCAGUGAGGAAUAUUGGUCAAUGGACGAGAGUCUGAACCAGCCAAGUAGCGUGCAGGAAGACGGCCCUAUGGGUUGUAAACUGCUUUUAUAAGGGAAUAAAGUGAGUCUCGUGAGACUUUUUGCAUGUACCUUAUGAAUAAGGACCGGCUAAUUCCGUGCCAGCAGCCGCGGUAAUACGGAAGGUCCGGGCGUUAUCCGGAUUUAUUGGGUUUAAAGGGAGCGUAGGCCGGAGAUUAAGCGUGUUGUGAAAUGUAGAUGCUCAACAUCUGAACUGCAGCGCGAACUGGUUUCCUUGAGUACGCACAAAGUGGGCGGAAUUCGUGGUGUAGCGGUGAAAUGCUUAGAUAUCACGAAGAACUCCGAUUGCGAAGGCAGCUCACUGGAGCGCAACUGACGCUGAAGCUCGAAAGUGCGGGUAUCGAACAGGAUUAGAUACCCUGGUAGUCUGCACGGUAAAC
rnacentral:rRNA from 1 species